ensembl:lncRNA novel transcript
CGGGAUCUUCCUUCUAUUGCCCAGUGCCCCGUGAAGCCCUUGAACAAAACCAGAAGAAAGUGAAAAAUAAACAGCCUUAUACGGUUGUCAUCAUCCUAUCCCCAGUGAUGGAGCCAUACUUGGGUCUGAAAUAUUUUGACACAGAUGAAGCAAGUCUUUGCAAUUUCCAAAGGAAAGGCUUCUGUGACACACUCUCUUGUUUGAAGGAGUGACAAUAACCUGAGAAUUGCUGGUAGUAUUAUUUGUUGUUAUUACUGUCAUCAAAAGAUAUUUAAUUAGAAUCUCUUUUAUAUGUGACUGAUAAAGCCAGUGAAAUGGUCACACUGAUUCUACAGUAAGCCAUUUUUGAGCACCUAUUAUACACAAAGCACUGUGCAGGAAGGUUGCAUAGUAAGUUGAGUGUGACCCAGACUCCAACUCUGAGAAGCUUAUAAUAGGGUGAAGGAG